rnacentral:rRNA from 1 species
CCUACGGGAGGCAGCAGUGGGGAAUAUUGGACAAUGGGCGAAAGCCUGAUCCAGCCAUGCCGCGUGUGUGAAGAAGGCCUUCGGGUUGUAAAGCACUUUCAGUGGGGAAGAAAGCCUUGGGGCUAAUACCCUCGAGGAAGGACAUCACCCACAGAAGAAGCACCGGCUAACUCCGUGCCAGCAGCCGCGGUAAUACGGAGGGUGCGAGCGUUAAUCGGAAUUACUGGGCGUAAAGCGCGCGUAGGCGGUCUGAUAAGCCGGUUGUGAAAGCCCCGGGCUCAACCUGGGAACGGCAUCCGGAACUGUCAGGCUAGAGUGCAGGAGAGGAAGGUAGAAUUCCCGGGGUAGCAGUGAAAUGCGUAGAGAUCGGGAGGAAUACCAGUGGCGAAGGCGGCCUUCUGGACUGACACUGACGCUGAGGUGCGAAAGCGUGGGUAGCAAACAGGAUUAGAUACCCCAGUAGUC